ACAGCUUGGACAUGAAGGCCCCUGCUCAGCUCCUGGGGUUCCUGCUGCUCUGGCUCCCAGGUGCCAGAUAUGACAUCAAAUUGACCCAGUCACCAUCCCUGUCUGCAUCUGUUACAGACAGAGUUUCCAUCACUUGCAGGGCCAGUCAGGGCAUUAGAAAUGAUUUCCAUUGGUACCAGCAGAGAGCAGGGAAUGCUCCAAAGCUCCUGAACCAUUAUACAACUAGUUGGGAUUCUGGGGUCCCCUCAAGGUUCAGUGGGAGUCAAUCUGGGACAGAGUUCAUUCUCACCAUCAGCAGCCUGCAGCUAGAAGAUGUUGCCACUUAUUACUGUCAGCAGACUAAUAGUUACCUUCCAGAAGUUAUAUAA